rnacentral:rRNA from 1 species
CAGUAGCCACGGUAAUACAGAGGGUGCGAGCGUUAAUCGGAAUUACUGGGCGUAAAGCGCGCGUAGGUGGUUUGUUAAGUUGGAUGUGAAAUCCCCGGGCUCAACCUGGGAACUGCAUCCAAAACUGGCAAGCUAGAGUAUGGUAGAGGGUGGUGGAAUUUCCUGUGUAGCGGUGAAAUGCGUAGAUAUAGGAAGGAACACCAGUGGCGAAGGCGACCACCUGGACUGAUACUGACACUGAGGUGCGAAAGCGUGGGGAGCAAACAGGAUUAGAGACCCCUGUAGUCCCUGUCUCUUAUAC